rnacentral:rRNA from 1 species
AGCAGCAGCCACGGGAAUACGGAGGGUGCAAGCGUUAUCCGGAUUUAUUGGGUUUAAAGGGUCCGUAGGCGGACUUAUAAGUCAGUGGUGAAAGCCUGUCGCUUAACGAUAGAACUGCCAUUGAUACUGUAAGUCUUGAGUAUAUUUGAGGUAGCUGGAAUAAGUAGUGUAGCGGUGAAAUGCAUAGAUAUUACUUAGAACACCAAUUGCGAAGGCAGGUUACCAAGAUAUAACUGACGCUGAGGGACGAAAGCGUGGGUAGCGAACAGGAUUAGAUACCCCUGUAGUCCCUGUCUCUUAUAC